rnacentral:rRNA from 1 species
UACGUAGGGUGCGAGCGUUAAUCGGAAUUACUGGGCGUAAAGCGUGCGCAGGCGGUUUUGUAAGCCAGAUGUGAAAUCCCCGGGCUUAACCUGGGAAUGGCAUUUGGGACUGCAUCGCUGGAGUGCGGGAGAGGGGGAUGGAAUUCCGCGUGUAGCAGUGAAAUGCGUAGAUAUGCGGAGGAACACCGAUGGCGAAGGCAAUCCCCUGGGCCUGCACUGACGCUCAUGCACGAAAGCGUGGGGAGCAAACAGG